UACAUGGGGUGCAAACGUUGCUCGGAAUUACUGGGCGUAAAGGGCUCGUAGGCGGCCAACUAAGUCAGACGUGAAAUCCCUCGGCUUAACCGGGGAACUGCGUCUGAUACUGGAUGGCUUGAGUUUGGGAGAGGGAUGCGGAAUUCCAGGUGUAGCGGUGAAAUGCGUAGAUAUCAGGAAGAACACCCGUGGCGAAGGCGGCUCUCUGGGACGGUACUGACGCUGAGACGCGAAAGCGUGGGGAGCGAACAGG
rnacentral:rRNA from 1 species